CUCUAUCUGUUGUUGGAUUGGUAAAUAUCUUUUCCCAAUCUCUUGGUUGCCGUUUUAUCCUAACCACAGUGUCCUUUCCCUUCCAGAAGCUUUGCAGUUUUAUGAGACCCCAUUUGUCAAUUCUUGAUCUUAGAGCAUAAACCAUUGGUGUUUUGUUCAGGAAAUUUUUUCCAGUGCCCAUGUGUUUGAGAUGCUGGCCUAGUUUUUCUUCUAUUAGUUUGACUGUAUCUGGUUUGAUUUGGAGGUCCUUAAUCCACUUGGACUUAAGCUUUGCACACGGUGAUAAGCAUGGAACGGUUUGCACUCUUCUACAUGCUGACCUCCAGUUGAACCAGCACCAUUUCCUGAAAAUGCUCUUUUUUCCAUUGAAUGGUUUUGGCUCCUUUGUCAAAAGUAAAGUGCCCAUAGGUGUGUGGGUUCAUUUCUGGGAGCUGCCUUAUGUAUAAUACCCAAGAGCUAGAAGAAUCCGUAAUGGCAUUCAUCAGAGGAAUGAAUACAGAAAAUGUAGUACAUCUAAACAAUUGUGUACUACUCAACUCUUAAAACCAAUUAUCUCAAGAAAGCCAAAGACAAAUGGGAUGAUCUAGAAAAUAUCAUAAUGAUUGAGGUUACCCAAUCACAAAAUGGUAUGAAAUCACACAUUUUAUGAAAUCACCAAAAGUGGAUAUUGGCACAAAAGCUAAAAUUACCAAAGAUGCAGGUCACAGACAACUGGAAGCUCAAUAAAAUGAUACACAAAAUGUGCAUGCUUUAAUCCUUUUCAAAAGGUGGACACAAUAAUAUCUAUGAAUUUCGAGCAGAGACUGAGGAAAUCCCAUUCAGAGCAGGCCGUACAUGUGGCAAAAAUAUAUCCACAUCAGUCACCAAAACUAGAUAAGAUUGAUGGAGCUAAGAAGUGCAUUGUGCCAGGGACUGUAUAGAGAUCUUUCCUGUGAGACACAGCUAGAGCAUAUCAAAUAAAGAAGUGAAUUCUAGAGGCAAAUCAGUGAAUUGAAAACGGACAGUAGGGGAGUUAUAGAAAAAGAGGAGUGGGGCCGGUUAGGGAUCAUAUGUGCAGGUAAUAGGGAAAGGAAAUAACAUUUCAAAUGUAAAUAUAGAAAUACCCAAUUAAAACAGGAAUAAAAUUUGCUAAAAAAAUAAAAAGAAAUAAAGAAAUUUAAGAAAAGAACACUGCGAAGUAUUCACAGCUAUUGACUCAGAAAUGUAAAAGUCAUUUUCAUGGAAUGAUAGUCAGAGUAAUACUAAUGGAAAGACUGAGAUGAUGAAGACUCAACUAGAAACACUUCUCUCUCCCAGAUAUCAGUAUCAGACAAAAACUGCACUAUAGGCAUCCAGAGCAUGGUGGAAUUUACUCUGAGGCGAGGACUCAAUACUUGUCUUUCCAUUCUUCCUUAGGACCAUUUUCUUCUUGACAAAAAGAAUAAGGCUAUGAGAUCUCAGCAAAACAACUGUGCCCUGCCCAUCACUUGGCUUUGGAAUAAAAAAAAAAUAAUGAUAUAAACUCUUUGACUUCCAGGAAUGAUAUGAACAGGUAAGUCCAGAUGCUUCUGAAAGGCUCCCAGCUCCUGAUUCCCAUAUGUGGAAGAUUCACAUCAAGCCUAACUCUUCAGAGAUCCCACUCAAUCCCUACUAAGGACUCUGAGCUAUCCCAAGGAUGAUGUACAUCUUCCUUUUUUUAUACAAAGAUAGAAGGCCAGCUUCCUUCUCCACAUCACUGAAAUCUUUAUCCUCUUUGUUCUCCCUCCCAUAUGGCUGUUUACCGUGAAUUAGAGGUCAAUUAUUAAACCCUAGAGGUACUGCAAGAAUAUCAGAGAGGCAGUUGCAGCCACAACAACACUUGUGAUGUCACAGAAGCAGCUAGGGAGUCCAGGUUACAAGAGAUACUUGCAGUAGGGCCAAAUCAUGAUGUCACUGUGAACUGCCAUGUCCUACCUGCUAAACAGAUUUCCCUACAUUGACCAGAUUUUGAGUGCCCUUUCCAGGAACUGUAAGAGCAGGAAGUCCAGAUGCUUCUGAGAGGACCCCAGCUUCUAAUUCCCAUUUGUAGACGGCUCAGAUCAAGACAAUCUCUUCAUGAAACAACUCAACACCUACUAAGGACUCAGAGAGCUUUCCCAAGGACCUUUUUUGUACCAAGACAGAAGGACCAAAACCAUCAGCUUUAAAGAAAACUGUGCCCUUCCCAACACUUGGCUUUGGAAAAAAGACAUGAAUGAUAUAAAUUCUCCGACUUCCAGGAACCAUAACUAGCAGGGAAGUCCAGAUGCAUCUGAGAGGCUCCCAUCUCCUGAUUACCAUAUUUGGAAGGCUCCAAUCAAUACUAUCUUUUCAGCAAACCUUCUCAACCACUACCCAGAAAUGACUGAGAUUUCCCAUGGACCACAUAUUUCUUUUUUUUUAUAACAAAGCAGAAGGCCAGCUUCCUUCUUCCCAUCUUUGAUCACUUCAUCCUCUUUUUUCUCCUUCCCAAAGGCUGUUUAUGCUGAAUUAGAGGCCAAAUAGUAAACCCUAGAGGUACUGAAGGACUACUGGAAAGGCAACUUCUGUCAGGACAACACUUGUUUCAUCACAGAAGAAACUAGGGAUCUCCAGGAUACAACAGAUUUUUUUAGAUAGGCCUAAUGGUGAUGUCACUGAGAAUUGCCAUGGCCUACCUGCUAAAGUGUUUUCCUUUCAAUGACCAGAUUCGAGGGUGCCCUUGCAAGGUUUGUCUCCUGUGAAACAAUGGAAACCUUUUCAUACUA